UGUGUAAUUUUUAUUUAGUUUCUCUUAGUUUUCUUUUGCAGCAUAGAAAAUGAAUACAAACAGGAUUUAAAUCAGCACACAAUUAUCAUCUCACAAUUUCCAUUCUGUUCAGUCUCCCUGGCUACAAUCAAGUUGUUGUCAGGUUACAGUGUCCUGGAGGCUUGAGUGGGGCAGUGUAUUAUGCUCUUUGUAGAAUUCAUUUCUUUGUAGCUAUAGGAUUGGAGACUCUAGCUUUUGCUGGGAGUCAGCUGGAAGCCACUGUCAACACCUUUAGGCCACCGGCUGAUCCUAGCCAUAAGGAAUUCUCCGACAUAAAGCAAGCAAAAAAAGUCUCUGGCAUCAUUAGUUAAGACAAUGUUGCAUCACAUAAUUGUGGAAGUGAUAUCUCAGUACUUUUGCCACAUUUUAUUGGUUAGAAGCAAAUCACAAGUUCCAUUCACAUUCACAGGGAGGGGAUUCCACAAACAUCAGGAACUAGAGAUCUUGUGUGUGUGGGGGGGGGUGGUUCACCCGCAGAUCUCUCAGCCACACAUAUUCAUAGUAAUCUGGAUUUAAAAUGAGGUGCAAUUACUGAAACAUUGCUUGUCAACUCAUUGACAAAUAGUUAUGUCAAUAAAUAUUUGCUCUUUUAAAUAAUUUUUAUCUUUAUUCCCAAUAAGAUAUUUGGUCUUUGUUAUUUCUGUAAAAAAAUAAAAGGCGUGGAAUCUUUCCACGGCUCAGAGUAUAAGCUUUCUUUUGAAGUAUGCACUGCAGAAAGGUCAACACCUUCGACUUCCUCGGGAGACUUCCAUCAGACUUUAUUAAAAGAACAUGGAGGAAAAAAUACCACAUGUCAAUAUAUCCCCGGGAGGCUGUGGAAGAGAUGAAAAGGCCUCAGGGCUCUGUAAGUGAUCCGAAUAUUUCACAGUCUCCUCCCGCGCUGCAAAGCACAAUGUUGCUCUGGUGUUAUGAAAUGUGAAGAUUUUUCUAGGUAAUCACUUUUGUCAUUGUUUUAUGUCUCUAGACACCCCAGAAAACUGAAUUUUGUUUAUGAUAUUGCGUAUAAGCAAAAUCCAAUCUAUAUAACCACAUAGGUAAUGUGCAUUUUAUGGUACAUACUCUCUUUUAAACUUGGGCGCUAUCUGUAUUUGUUUUCUGUAGUUAUGAAAAAAGUAACUCUCAAACAUGGCUUAAAAAUGAUGGAUCUUCCUUACUUCACAGUUUGCAUUGCUGACCGGUCUGUUUAGGCGGCUGCAGCGGGCUCAGGUCUCUAGCUGACUCACCUCAGGCGUGACGUCCUCCACCCGCGAGCGCGCGCUCGCUGACAGACUGGAUCCCGGCCGGCCGGCGGCUGGACACGCACGUUCCUGCCCACAGGGCUUCUCCGAGGGACAGCUGCCCCGGGCGGCCGGCUUUCCCCGGCCCGGAAUCUGAGCGUGUGAGGGAGAAAGAGCGCAGAAUUCCCAGCGGCAAGCCGCAGCCUCCAGGCGACCUGCUCAGCCCGCGGCACCCCGCGCGUCUCUGGGGUUGCGCCGUCAGGGGGCGUCCCUCGGCGCAGUCUGCGCACGCGCGCAGCGGCGCACACGGGCGGGGCUCCCGGGCCGCCUGCGGAGCCGCCGGCGGGGCUGCGGGCCGAGGCUCUGGCCUCCGCGGGAACCGAGCGUCCGGCAACGCCGAGGAAGACCGAGCCGCUCCCAAGUGCCAGGGUUUGGAAGGACUCAUGCCUGGCGCCACAGGUGAGGAAGAAGAAAUAAUUCUGGGCACAGCGUGGGAAGAAGAAUGAAUUACAGAGGAACAGAGGAACAGAGGCACAUACACAGUCAAGAUUUUCUAACAAAUUUCUCAUUGUAUUGGAGACAAAAUGCUGCGUUUUACAGUCUCGUCACAUGUAGGUACAAGGUGACACUCUGGAUAACAUUCAGGAAGAGUAACCAGAGAAAGGCCGCGGAACCACCCACUGCAACGCUGCCAGAAGGAGGCCACUCUUAGCAGAGGAUGUGAAUAAAGAGGGACAGAAAGAGGUUUCACUCUGUAUCGUGAUGUUUAUGGAUUAGACUCUUCUAGGUGUUGGGAAUACACCUGCACGUCUCACUGUUCCAUCUGUUACAAAUUCAUAAGUCAAAUAUGUCUCUUCCAAAUAGUGUCAUUAUUUGUAGUUUAUUUCCUAUGAAUGAAUUACAUACCUCAGAAAAACAAAAAUAGCAAAUAAAGUCAGAUAAAAUUAGUUUGUUAAAGAGAAAGAAGAUGGAAGCUCUGACCCUAAACAAGUAAUCAACAUUUCUGUGAUUCUGUGAUGUGUUGUUUCAUGCCCCAAAGAGACAAGAAGUGAGAACCCCUGAGACCAAAGUGUUAGGUGAAGGUUUACAUUUAUAGUUGUUGCUACGUGAAAAGGAAUGGACAUUCUAAAAUUCUAAAUGAAUUCAGAGUUUAGGAAUUCAUUCUGAAAUUCCAAAUGAAUUAGAGUUUAGGAAUUUUAAAUGAAUCAGAAUUCAAUUUAAAUUUCUAAAUGAAAUAGACUUCCAUUUCUAAAUGGAAAUUCUAAAAUGAAAAAAGGGGUUGUUAUGAAUAAAUAAUCAUUAAUAAUUAACCUUCAGUAGCCACUGGUACAAACUUAUAAUAAACUAUUCUUCUAGAAUUUUGCUAUAUUUCUAAUUCUGUACUUUCAUAACUGAACAGAAUAAUUUGUCUUUUUCUUUGUGAGAUAAUUUAUACCUACACUCAUGAAACUUUAGCUGGCGUAUACAUGCAUUUAAAAAUGAAAUAGCUGAAGAUGUUCUGAAAAUGUGUCUGAAAAUGUCAGUAAGGUUUUACACUGGUACAACAUAUAUACAUUUAAGACAACCUCAAAAGUGAAAUAGUAGUCAUUUUUUAAAUCUAAAUUGUUGUUGUCAUGAUGUGGCUUAUUUUUCCUCUUUGCACUUUGCCUAAACCGUUCCUUUAAUUAGUGGAAUCAAUUCAAAGGUUUAAGCUACUCUUUUAAGAGUUUAUAAUUGUAUCAAAUCAUUUUUUCAUAAUGAAAAUAAGUUUUUGUUUUCACAUAUAAAAUUAAUACGUGGUCUUGUAAAACAUUUAGGAUAAUAUUGAAAAUCCAAAAUUAGAAAUAAGAACAAUUCUCAAUAUUUUGAUACAUAGUCUUAUAAAAGCAUCCAUUUGGAGUUUAUCCUUAUGUGACAUUGUAACUUUUUAACAAAUCACCGUACCUUGGAAACGUCAUAAAAUAGGCUGAAUUUAUUUUGAUUUGUUUUAAGUCUUUUCUUCUCUAGCUGUUCCCGGUCCUCCAUCAAUGUGUUUGGUAACUUAAUGGGCUCUUUUUUUUUUUUUUUUUUUUUUUUUUUUUAUGGUCUGCUUUCUUCUUUCUCUGCCCUGCCUUCUAAGCAGCCUUUUAACAACUGUGACUGACAAAUAUAAGAAAUUGUUGCCCAAAUACUCUUGUAAAUUUUAAUACCUUUUUUUUUAGUGAAAAUGACCACAGAAAACUUACAACUCUAAAAAUCGGCUUUGUCAAUAGAGUUUCUACUGCAAAGUGUAAUAAAAACAAGAAAUUCAGCCUUUUAGCUUGAAGAAAGAUAAAUAUAAAUUCUAUAUUACACGCACGUCACUAGACAAAAAAAGAUGCUAAUGUGAACUUGGAGAUAGACACUAACAAUUGCCAUUCCAAUAUGCACUCUCCUCUGCCUCCCUAUGUUUUAGAUAGCAUUGUGUCUUAUUCUAAAAUGACAGUUACUGUCCUGCUUGAUAUAUGAUAGAUGAGUUUUCCUAUGAAGUAAUUCAGGCCAACUAGAAAUUACUUGUUGGGGAAGGCUUACUGAAUGCUAUUUAAAAAAACAAAGUGGAAAAAGACAUGAACAGAAGCUUUUCAAAAGAAGAUAGAGGAUCAACAAACAUAUGAAAAAAAUGCUCAACAUCACCAAUUAUUACGGAAAUGCAAAUUAAAACCAAAAUUAGAUACAUCCCUACCCCAUCCACAUGGCUAUUAUUAAAAAAUAAAUGAUAGAUGUUGGCAUGGAUAUAGUGCAAUGGGAAUCCUUAAUACACUCUUGAUGAGGAUGUAAAUCAGUACAACCUCUAUGGAAAACAGUAUGGAGAUUCUUCAAAGAAUUAAACGUAGACCUACCAUUAGAUCCCACAAUCUCACUUCUGUACAUCUACCCAAAGGAAAAGAAGUCAGUAUAUCAAACAUACACGUGUACCCAAAUACUGUUCACAGCACAAUUCACAAUUGCAAAGGAAUCAACCUAAGUGCCCAUCAAACGAUGAGUGAAUAAAGAAAAUAAGGGGGUAUAUGCAUAUACGUGUGUAUGUGUGGGGGA